rnacentral:lncRNA from 1 species
CCGCACGCCCCGGCCCCGCGCACCUCCGCCCGGCUCCGCAGCCGCUACCCGCGCUUCGUUGCCCUGUGGGACUCCGAGCGAGCCCAGAGGGAACCCUCCUCUUCUUCUGGGGGCGACUUUUGUUUGCUUGCCUGUUUCUUUCUGGUGACUUUUGCAGCUUUCCAAUAUCCGUCUCCGGAGCGCACGGGAAUCCGCCGAGCUCUGCGUGCAGGCCCUUUUUUCUUUUGAGGUUCACAGUUUUUGAAAUUUUACGCCAGGGCUUUUGUAAUUUCCUCCCCCGCCCGCUGGCGGUCCUGGAGUCGCUCGGGGCUUUAGGCCGGUUAUGCAACGUGUACCGCUCGGGGCUGCCGGCUGCACCUCCGCCGCGCCUCGCCGCUCACUGCGCUAGACCCGGCGCCCCGCGUCUCGCUUCGCGGGCAGUCAGGGGGCCGGCGCUCUGUCGAGGUCUCCAGCUAGAGCAGGGAGCCCGAGCCCGAGGGAGUCCCCGGAGCCGACGAAGGGCUUAUUAGACCCUGACUCUUUUCUGAGGCGCGCAGAUUUUGUCUUUGAUCACUCCCUCUCCGCGGGUCUACGGCCGCGCGCUUUCGGCGCCGGCAAUGGGGAGAAGACGGAGGCUGUGUCUCCAGCUCUACUUCCUGUGGCUGGUCUGUGUGGUGCUCUGGGCGCAGGGCACGGCCGGCCAGCCUCAGCCUCCUCCGCCCAAGCCGCCCCGGCCCCAGCCGCCGCCGCAACAGGUUCGGUCCGCUACAGCAGGCUCUGAAGGCGGGUUUCUAGCGCCCGAGUAUCGCGAGGAGGGUGCCGCAGUGGCCAGCCGCGUCCGCCGGCGAGGACAGCAGGACGUGCUCCGAGGGCCCAACGUGUGCGGCUCCAGAUUCCACUCCUACUGCUGCCCUGGAUGGAAGACGCUCCCUGGAGGAAACCAGUGCAUUGUCCUUCAGCAGUGCAGUGUGAGAUGCAUGAAUGGUGGGACCUGUGCAGAUGACCACUGCCAGUGCCAGAAAGGAUAUAUUGGAACUUAUUGUGGACAACCUGUCUGUGAAAAUGGAUGUCAGAAUGGUGGACGUUGCAUCGGACCCAACCGCUGUGCUUGUGUUUAUGGGUUCACUGGUCCACAGUGUGAAAGAGAUUACAGGACAGGCCCGUGUUUCACUCAGGUCAACAACCAGAUGUGCCAAGGGCAGCUGACAGGCAUUGUCUGCACGAAGACUCUGUGCUGUGCCACCAUUGGACGGGCGUGGGGCCAUCCCUGUGAGAUGUGUCCAGCCCAGCCUCAGCCCUGCCGACGGGGUUUCAUCCCCAACAUCCGCACUGG